GACGAACGCUGGCGGCGUGCUUAACACAUGCAAGUCGAACGGUAAGGCCCUUCGGGGUACACGAGUGGCGAACGGGUGAGUAACACGUGGGUGAUCUGCCCUGCACUUCGGGAUAAGCCUGGGAAACUGGGUCUAAUACCGGAUAGGACCACUGCCUGCAUGGGUGGUGGUGGAAAGCUUUUGCGGUGUGGGAUGGGCCCGCGGCCUAUCAGCUGGUUGGUGGGGUGAUGGCAUACCAAGGCGACGACGGGUAGCCGGCCUGAGAGGGUGAUCGGCCACUCUGGGACUGAGAUACGGCGCAGACUCCUACGGGAGGCAUCAGUGGGGAAUAUUGCACCAUGGGCGCAAGCCUGAUGCAGCGACGCCGCGUGAGGGAUGACGGCCUUCGGGUUGUAAACCUCUUUCAGCACCGACGAAGCGCAAGUGACGGUAGGUGCAGAAGAAGGACCGGCCAACUACGUGCCAGCCGCCGCGGUAA
rnacentral:rRNA from 1 species